AUUGUUGUUCUGUUUGUAAUUUUUUUUUAAACAAGUUUGUUUGCAUGUAUUUUUUUUCAAACAUUUUUUGUUUGCAUGGAUUUUUUUUCUGUCCCCCCCUCACUUUUCUAAUGGUCCGUCCCUUACAAAUUAAUAGCGAGCUUAAGAUCUACAACGCGAACUUACGACGCGGACGUCGCAUUAAACAAGUUUUAUUUUAAAACGAUGGCAAAUUCCAUUAAAAUAUUUGUAUCACAGUAAAUAAAAUGAAAUUAUACUGGAAAAAAUGUACAACAUAACAGAGGCUAGCAAUAUAUUAACAAGAUAUUUUUUAUCAUAAGUUUUUACGACUUCUAUGACGACGAGUCUUUGCAAAUAUCACGUCGUCUCGGAUGGUAGUUUUGGCGGGAAAAUGUGCAUUCGUAACAAUAGUCUAUAAAGUCUGGUUUCUAUCAUUUCAUAUGGCUGUUAACGUGUCAUCACAGUGUCACAAAUCUCAAAGAAAUAAACUCUGACAACUCUGACUAGGCUUACACGCGAAAACUAGGCUUCGGUAAGCACGUCCGCGUCACAAAUUCGCGUUGUAGAUCUU